AUUGAACGCUGGCGGCAUGCCUUACACAUGCAAGUCGAACGGCAGCACGGGUGCUUGCACCUGGUGGCGAGUGGCGAACGGGUGAGUAAUACAUCGGAACAUGUCCUGUAGUGGGGGAUAGCCCGGCGAAAGCCGGAUUAAUACCGCAUACGAUCUACGGAUGAAAGCGGGGGACCUUCGGGCCUCGCGCUAUAGGGUUGGCCGAUGGCUGAUUAGCUAGUUGGUGGGGUAAAGGCCUACCAAGGCGACGAUCAGUAGCUGGUCUGAGAGGACGACCAGCAACACUGGGACGUGAGCACGGCCCAGACUACUACGAGAGGGAGCAGGGGGGAAUUUUGGACAAUGGGCGAAGGCCUGAUCCAGGAAUGCCGCGUGUGUGAAGAAGGCCGUAAGGUUGGGAAGCACAUUUAUGCGGAAAGAAAGCAAUGGCCCUAAUACGGUCGGGAUGAUGACGGUACCGGAAGAAUAAGCACCGGCUAACUACGUG
rnacentral:rRNA from 1 species